rnacentral:rRNA from 1 species
AUUGAACGCUGGCGGCAGGCCUAACACAUGCAAGUCGAACGAGUGGCGGACGGGUGAGUAAUGUCUGGGAAACUGCCUGAUGGAGCGAGAUAUCUACUGGAAACGGUAGCUAAUACCGCAUACCAUCAGAUGUGCCCAGCUGGGAUUAGCUAGUUGGUGGGGUAACGGCGCACCAAGGCGACGAUCCCUAGCUGGUCUGAGAGGAUGCCCAGCCACACUGGAACUGAGAAACGGUCCAGACUCCUACGGGAGGCUGCAGUGGGGAAUAUUGCACAGUAGGCGCAAGCCUGAUGCAGCCAUGCCGCGUGUAUAAAGAGGGCCUUCGAGUUGUAAAGUACUUGCAGCGGGGAGGCGUUACCCGCAGGAGAAGCACCGGCUAACUCCGGGCCAGCAGCCGCGGUAAUUC